AGGAGAGUUUGAUCCUGGCUCAGGAUGAACGCUAGCUACAGGCUUAACACAUGCAAGUCGAGGGGCAGCAGGGGACUAGCUUGCUAGUUUCGCUGGCGACCGGCGCACGGGUGCGUAACACGUAUCCAAUCUACCCAUGGCUCAGGGAUAGCCUUUCGAAAGAAAGAUUAAUACCUGAUGGUCUGUCAGUGGGACAUCCCACGGGCAGUAAAGAUUUAUCGGCGAUGGAUGAGGAUGCGUCCGAUUAGGUAGUAGGCGGGGCAACGGCCCACCUAGCCGACGAUCGGUAGGGGUUCUGAGAGGAAGGUCCCCCACACUGGAACUGAGACACGGUCCAGACUCCUACGGGAGGCAGCAGUGAGGAAUAUUGGUCAAUGGUCGGAGGACUGAACCAGCCAAGUAGCGUGAGGGAGGACGGCCCUACGGGUUGUAAACCUCUUUUGUAUGGGAAUAAAGCGUCCCACGCGUGGGACUUUGUAUGUACCUUACGAAUAAGCAUCGGCUAAUUCCGUGCCAGCAGCCGCGGUAAUACGGAAGAUGCGAGCGUUAUCCGGAUUUAUUGGGUUUAAAGGGAGCGUAGGCGGGCUUUUAAGUCAGCGGUUAAAUGUCAGUGCCCAACAUUGGCAUGCCGUUGAAACUGGAGGCCUUGAAUACACACAAGGAAGGCGGAAUUCGUCGUGUAGCGGUGAAAUGCUUAGAUAUGACGAAGAACUCCGAUUGCGAAGGCAGCCUUCUGGGGUGCGAUUGACGCUGAGGCUCGAAAGUGCGGGGAUCAAACAGGAUUAGAUACCCUGGUAGUCCCCU
rnacentral:rRNA from 1 species